rnacentral:ncRNA from 2 species
AUAAUAAAAUAUAUUGCAAAAGGUUGUCUUUAAGUAAGAUAGCCAUAACAGGGAAGUCGGUUUAAAUCCGACGCGGUCCCGCCACUGUAAUGGGGAGUUUCUGCCGCAUCCACUGAGGAAACUUGGGAAGGAGGCAGUAUACGAGGAACCUAAGCCAGGAGACCUGAUUGCAGAUGCUUUGCUCA